AUGCAUUUCAGCCUCCUCCGCUCUCUCCCUCUUUGCUCAUAAAGAUAUUUCGGCAUUCAAUCGACAUGUUCACCAAUCUAACCAGCUAUACCGAAACAAUUAAUAAACUACUGUAUUGGAUUAGUUGGUGCAACUCCCAUUCUAUAUUUGCAUAAAGCUACUGCAUCAACAUUUAGUUGUAGAUAGAGGACUAUGAGACGAGAGAAGCACAUCUGCCAAGUCCCAGACGUUGCAGGUGGUUUUGUGGGAUUGCAACUGGAUGAAAUUCAGUUCAGAUGGCUUUUCCAGCCAAAAGAAACUCUGAAUUAUUUAAUGACCUCGAUCGAGUUCGAAAAUGGGGUCCCUGCGGACAAGAUCAAGGUGACCCUGGCGUGAGGUCGAACACCAAAUUGGACCUUAGUUUUCAUAUACGGGGCAAUUUUACCACGAAGCGCCGUCAAUAUUUUUGAUCCCGACCAACCCAUGACCGUGAUGAUGAGGUUAAAUGUAAAAAAAAUACAUAUGUACCUGUCAAAUAUGAUGUCAUUUCAAAGGAAAUUUCAAUCGCAUUGACGCUACUUCUUUAUGUUUGGUUACAACAGUUUAUUUUUCAUCGUAAUGUUCGCAGGCGCAUGAAGCGGAAAGAGGAGGAUUGGGCAAUGAGAAUUGUGGUCUUUGUCUCUUGUUCUGCAUAGGUUUACUGAAUCUGAAUUAAGUUUCCAAAUUUACUUAUUACCUUCAGAAAUUGGGCUCUGUUGUGAUUUGCUAUGUCAUUAUUUAAAUUGCCUUAUUGUAACUUUUUCCAGUUUAUUAGUGAAUUUUUGCAAGGAAUCGAAACAGGAUUCAUCAAUCACUAACGGCUACGCCGGUGUUUCCUCUUAAAGAGGAAACGAAUUAAUUCAUCCUGAAAUCGAAAUGAUUCAAGACAGGAACCAAAAAUUGCAGGGCCCAGAAUGCUGUCAAGUGAAUAAGUGGGUUUAUUUAUCAAGGUUUGCGCUCACAAUUUCAUCGUGGUCAGAGUUCGACAUGUAGUUAUUUAUUAUAAUCAAAAUGUUAUUUGUUUGUAAUGCUAUUUUGAAAUUGAUAACAAAAAUUACUUUGCUAUUCGAGCAAAAAGGUAAUAUAAUGUAAGAAGUUUGUUAAAUACAAAUUGAAAAAUAUUAAAUAA